ACGUAGGACCCAAGCGUUGUCCGGAUUUACUGGGUGUAAAGGGUGCGUAGGCGGAUGGGGGAGACAGAGGUUAAAUCCCAUCGCUUAACGAUGGAACUGCCUUUGAUACGGCAAGUCUUGAAUGCGGGAGAGGAUGAUGGAAUUCCUGGUGUAGCGGUGAAAUGCGUAGAUAUCAGGAGGAACACCAGUGGCGAAGGCGGUCAUCUGGCUCGAUAUUGACGCUGAGGCGCGAAAGCGUGGGGAUCAAACAG
rnacentral:rRNA from 1 species